rnacentral:rRNA from 1 species
AAUCUUCCACAAUGGACGGAAGUCUGAUGGAGCAAUGCCGCGUGAACGAAGAAGGUUUUCGGAUCGUAAAGUUCUGUUGUGAGGGAGGAACAAGUACGAGAGUAACUGCUCGUACCUCGACGGUACCGCAUGAGAAAGCGACGGCUAACUACGGGCCAGAAGCCGGGCUAAUACGUGGGUGGCAAGGGUUGUCCGGAAUUAUUGGGCGUAAAGCGCGGGGAAGCGGCCUUUUAAGCCUGUUGUGAAAGCCCCCGGCUCAACCGUGGAAGGUCAUGGAAAAAUGGAAGGCUUGGGUACAGAAGAGGAAAGCGAAAUUCCACGUGUAGCGGUGAAAUGCGUAGAGCUGUGGAGGAACACCAGUGGCGAAGGCGGCUUUCUGGUCUGUAACUGACGCUGAGGCGCGAAAGCGUGGGGAGCAAACA